rnacentral:misc_RNA from 1 species
CCGAGUUUACAACUCCCAAACCCCCAUGUGAACCUACCACACCGUUGCCUCGGCGGGAUCGCCCCGGGCGCGUCGCAGCCCCGGGCCAAGGCGCCCGCCGGAGGACCCAAAACCCUGCAUCUCCCGCCCAGCGGGCCAUCAGUAACCUCUGAGCUCUCUCGGCGCUCCCAGCGAGCGUUCCGAAAAAAUGAAUCA